rnacentral:misc_RNA from 1 species
AAGAGGCCAAUUAAGGUUGAACCAACUGAAGGAAAACCACAGUGCUUCCACGAAAACUGGGGAAAUCUCUACAUGGGCACAGACUGUGGAACUGUCGUUGUGAUGUCAAUAAAGAAUGAUAAAGUCCUUGACACAUUCCACUGUGCUGACCGAUCAAUUAGCCGAAUCUGCUCUGCCACAGAGGGUGUUCGAAGAGUGAUUCUGGUGGCCUCCUUUGAUGCUAUUAUCUAUGUGUAUGACAGCAGUACUGGUUUACUGAUCCGAAUGUUGGAGGGUCACACUAGAACUCCCUUCUCCCUGCAGGUUGAUGGUCAUCUUGUGUUUAGUGGAUCGGGAGACAAAACUGUGAUGGAACACAAUGUAUCAACAGGUGAGCUGUUGUGGACAUACACAGAGGCCGGGGGAAUUGUGUCAUGUGUCUGUACCCAUGGUGACCAGCUGUUCUGUGCCUCGUAUGACCGACUCAUCCGAUGUUACAACAAAACAAAUCGAAAGUUGCAGCGACUUUAUUAUGGUGCAGGGGCAGAGGAUGGACUAAUCAUCAGAAUGACAAUCUGUGAUGGAAUGUUAAUCACAGGAAACAGAAAAGGGCUGGUGGAGGCGGUGCCAAUCUCACAAGACAACCACACCUGUCAGUGUGGAGACUGUGAUUUUGUUUUUGCUGUGAAAAGCCAUCUCUUAUACCAUGUGGUGCACUGUCAUAUAUUAAACAAUGUCCGGUCUGGAAAAAAGACUUCAUGUCCGUGGAAGAACUGUAAAGACAAAUUUAAAUCUACUGCCACAAAAGAGGAAUUUGAGGAGCAUGUCUCUCUACAUGUCUACUAGAAGUAAUUUUGAGUCUCUCCAUGUCAACAGCAAUGUGAUUGCUUAACGUGAUAUUUCCCUGUCAGACAGUACUGUUAUGGGAUUGUAUACUAUUAGGCUGUUAACAGCCAAUGUGCUCAGUCAUUUGUGAUGUCUAGUAUUUUUACAAGCAUUUAUUUUUGGACUUUUUUUUUCAAUGCGUGUACAUGUAUGGGUAUACAUGUACAUGUAUUUCACGAUACAUAUUAUAUACAUGUAUAUCGUUUAGAAAGUUUUCUCUUUUGAGGAUAUUUUCGUAAAAUGUUUGUACUGUUUGAUCUGUAUGGGCAUUUAGUUCUGUAACUUUUUGUUCAAGUGGUUUUACAAGAUUUAUCCCUGAAAAAUAUGGACUUGUUGGCACUAAUCAAUAUCUUUUACAUUAAAAAUAUUUUUGAAAAGUCA